rnacentral:rRNA from 1 species
UACGUAGGGGGCUAGCGUUGUCCGGAAUCAUUGGGCGUAAAGCGCGCGUAGGCGGUUCAGUAAGUCGGGUGUGAAAACUUUGGGCUUAACCCAAAGCGUGCAUCUGAUACUGCUGUGACUUGAGUUCGGUAGGGGAGUGGGGAAUUCCUAGUGUAGCGGUGAAAUGCGCAGAUAUUAGGAGGAACACCGGUGGCGAAGGCGCCACUCUGGGCCGAAACUGACGCUGAGGAGCGAAAGCAUGGGUAGCAAACAGG